GGUGAGUCCAGUGACCAGUCAUUAGUCCACUCCACUUAAGUGGUACUGGUAGUUGGUAACUUUGCACCAGUGUAAUUCAAACUUGAAAUGUUAGCUUACACAGAAAUUCAUAUUCUUUCAACUUCCAUACAGAGCUGAAGAAAAUUGAAAAUUCGCUCCAGUUCCUGUUGAAGAGUUUAAGAAAUGGAGAAGUUAAUUUGAACGAAAUUAAAUGGAGAAAGCAGUAACACAAGAUGUUCCGAGAGUGAAAUCUACCCCAAUGUAUGCAUGAACAUUAACACUACGGAGUUUCUAAGCAGUUGAGAAGAUUAUUCAGGACUGCAAGUCUCUCUAGGACUUCAUCGCUAUCCUCUGUGGGGUCAUGAGUUGUCUGAGGAGGACAAGCUGAUGCUGAAGGUCGCCAGGGCCAGGAAGAUGUUCCGAGAGUGAAAUCUACCCCAAUGUAUGCAUGAACAUUAACACUACGGAGUUGCUAAGCAGUUGAGAAGAUUAUUCAGGACUGCAAGUCUCUCUAGGACAUCAGCCCUAUCCUCUGUGGGAUCAUGAGUUGUCAGAGAAGGACAAGCUGAUGCUGAAGGUCGCCAGGGCCAGGAAGAUCGAGAGAUUCCUCUCAUAACCUUUCCAGAUAUAACUGAGAAAUUUGUAAUCAGAAUACAGAAUGAAGUUAAAAUAAUAUGGCCAUCUAUGAAAUACUACUGUUAAGUGUUCACACUGUCAUUUAGAAGCAGAAAUCGAUGAGAAUUUUGUCAAUUACUUAAUGGAGGAGACUUUUUAUAAGCAGGCUGAAUCAUGUAUGUGUGCAGUGAUUAGAAAAGAAAUCUUCAGAAGAUUUUAAAACAGUUCACCAAUUUCAAAUUCUUCCAGAAAUCAGAAGCAAGAUUUUGUAACAAAAGAAACCAAGUGAAAAUUAAUUUAUAUCGAGUUUAAAUUUGUGUUUGAAUAUUUACGUUCACAAUAACCAAUGUCAUACAAUUAUUAUAUUCACCAUCAUAUAGUAAUGUUUAUCUGUAAAUGUAGCACAAUAUAUACAUUUUUUUUAACAUGUU